rnacentral:rRNA from 1 species
AGGACGAACGCUUGCGGCGUGCCUAAGAAAUGCAAGUCGAACGGGGGCUUCGGCCCUAGUGGCGAACGGUCGCGUAACACGUGGGCAACCUGCCCUGAAGCGGGGGACAACAGAUCGAAAGGUCUGCUAAUACCGCAUGUGGUCUGUGGAGGCAUCUCCAUAGCCUAAAGUCUUCGGACACUUCAGGAUGGGCCCGCGGCCUAUCAGCUAGUUGGUGGGGUAACGGCCUACCAAGGCUUCGACGGGUAGCUGGUCUGAGAGGACGACCAGCCGGAUUGGGACUGAGAUACGGCCCAGACUCCUACGGGGGGCAGCAAUUAGGAAUCUUGCGCAAUGGGGGCAACCCUGACGCAGCGACGCCGCGUGAAGGAUGAAGUCUUUCGGGAUGUAAACUUCUUUUCUCAAGGAAGAAGAAUGUGACGGUACUUGAGGAAUAAGCCCGGACUAACUACGCGCCAGCAGCCGCGGC